rnacentral:rRNA from 1 species
AUUGAACGCUGGCGGCGGGCCUAACACAUGCAAGUCGAACGAGUGGCGGACGGGUGUGUAACGUGUGGGAAACUGCCUGAUGGAGGGGGUUAACUACUGGAAACGGUAGCUAAUACCGCAUACCAUCAGCUGUGCCCAGCUGGGGUUAGCUUGUUGGUGGGGUAACGGCUCACCAAGGCGACGAUCCCUAGCUGGUCUGAGAGGGUGACCGGCCACACUGGAAAGGAGAACCGGUCCAGGCUCCUGCGGGAGGCAGCAGUGGGGAAUUGGGGACAAUGGGCGCAGGCCGGAUGCCGCCAUGCGCCGUGUAGGAGGAAGGCCGUCGGGUUGUAAGGUACUUUCAGCAGGGAGGCGUUACCCGCAGAAGAAGCACCGGCUAACUCCGUGCCAGCAGCCGCGGUAAUUC